UACGGAGGAUGCAAGCGUUAUCCGGAAUGAUUGGGCGUAAAGCGUCCGCAGGUGGCUAUGUAAGUCUGCUGUUAAAGAGUCUAGCUCAACUAGAUAAGAGCAGUGGAAACUACAUGGCUAGAGUGCGUUCGGGGCAGAGGGAAGUUCCUGGUGUAGCGGUGGAAAUGCGUAGAGAGUCAGGAAGAACACCGGUGGCGAAGGCGCUCUGCUAGGCCGCAACUGACACUGAGGGACGAAA
rnacentral:rRNA from 1 species